ACACGUGCUCCCCGUGCUCCGCGUGUGCUCCGCGUGCUCCUUCAAAAAAGAAGUUGAAACUUGAAAGAAGUGAGACACUGACGGUGUGUCUUUUCGAUUGGUAUAUGCCUGAUAUCGACGUGAAUUUUUGAGGCUUUGGGUUUUUUCAAAUUGUGAUCUGAGACGAAAACCGGCAGCUCAACUUGGGACGCCGACGCCCGACGCUGCGGACGCGGACGCGUCGGAAAUGUCGACGGGCGGGCGUUCCGCGCCAAAUUCUUCGGAACCGGCCCCAACGGAGUUGAAAAAAUGUGAUACAAGAGACGCAGUGGAGGAGGGUGAGGAACUGGAUGUGGAUGAUGAAGUAGAAGCUGGUCCAGGUAAACAGAAAGACAAGCCGCCUGUCGAAAAGAACAUGGCAUUGACUUCGGGCGACAUCUAUACUAUUCCUCACGAGACUGCCGACCAGCGCCAUCUAGCCAGGAAAACAAGAGAAGAGACUGAGAGCCACGAAUGCGGACUUCUGACCAAGACGACCCUUUAUAACAUUUAAUCCAGCUAAUCAACGAACGCCGAGUUUUCGUAAUACUCUAUGGUUGAUUUAUGUAACUAUGGCCGACAUAAGAUAGCUGCCGUCCAGUCGCGAGGCAGCGCUGCGCCAGUGCUCACGAUCGCGUCGUACCCUGAUGGAUCCGUGUUUCAAUCAUUGCUUCUUUGCGUUGCUUCUGCUGGUAUAUAUUGCGAAUAAUAAUAUAUACUGAGACACGAA